AUCAUUUAUGGCACUGUGAUAAGAUAGAGUACUUAUUGCACCGGGCCGGGAACGCUCUCGCUUCUAGGCUCCGAUGCGGCUGGCGCUAGUCACGCGAAAUCUCGCGAAUAUGAAAGCAACCCCGGAAGUGAUCGUUUGAGAAUACGAUCUCUGCUUCCAGUGUGAAAAGUGACGGUUACCAUGUAGUGUGUGUGCGUAGGCGUGCGAGUGGUGGCCGGGGCUACUUUUUCAGACAGCGCGACUCCGAGGCACAAAAAAGCGAGGAUUCGCGACGUUGACGAUGCAAGCGAACGCAGUCUGGACAAGGAAACAUAUUUGUUGUCUGUGCCUGUGUUGUCGUGCUCGUUUCAGACUGUAGACUGUUCAUCACCCGGUUGGUCGCGGCGAACACGUACUGAGUGCCGGCGUGCCACGGAAGUCACGCUCGCGGCCCCAGAGCAACCGUUUUUGUUUUCACACGAAGAAAACCAAAGGAAAUGAGUUGAUAUUCCAUGCCAGGAUGACAAGAAAACUGGCAACUAGUUGGCGGCGUUAGAACCAACGAGCACACCCGAGGGCACCCGAAUCGAUUUUGCGAAGCGUUCAGAGCCCCGACGCUCCCUCAAUAUCGGAUCGGCUUACGGCACGUUUUUUGAACCAAGUGGACUGAGGACAAGCUGAAAGGAACAACUGACAGAGGACGGAAAGGGUUCGCGCGCCCAUGGAUUGGCGACAGGCAAAAGAGAGACCGACAAUGGCCAGACACCGACAGCGUGAGGGAAAGAGAGAGACUGACGGCACCUGAAAGAGGCACUGAUCGUGGAAAGAUGAGGCAAGAUCGUGGCAGAUGUCUUCGAUCUCGUGGCAGACGUCUUCGAUCUCCUGGCAGACGUCUUCGAUCUCGUAGCAGACGUCUUCGAUCUCGUGGCCAAAGCAGCACUCGGGA